rnacentral:rRNA from 1 species
UACGUAGGGGGCAAGCGUUGUCCGGAAUCAUUGGGCGUAAAGAGCGUGUAGGCGGCCAGGUAGGUCGGUUGUGAAAACUGGAGGCUACAACCUUCAGAGGUCGACCGAAACCAUCUGGCUAGAGUCCGGGAGAGGAGAGUGGAAUUCCUGGUGUAGCGGUGAAAUGCGCAGAUAUCAGGAAGAACACCCGUGGCGAAAGCGGCUCUCUGGAACGGUACUGACGCUGAGACGCGAAAGCGUGGGGAGCGAAC